CAGAAAGAGUGAGCCCCACCCCUUCUUUUGUUUUGAGGUUUCCCAUUAUUUGGACUGCAUGCUGUGAGGCUAGGCAUCAAGGAUCCCACUCUCCUUUCUAUACAAGCCAACUCCUGGAAGAUGGAUGGGUUCUCUGGCUCUAGUAUGAUGGUGGACCUCCUAAUAGCGAGUCCGCAAUGUUUGCUCUAUAGUGUUCUGACCUCCAGGAGAGAGUUGGCCUAUCAGAUUGCAGAGUGUUUGGUCUGAAAGCAUAUGUGGUGGUACGUGGAAUAGAUUUGGCUCAAAAGCGUCAAAUCGUCAGCUAGCGGAUCACCUGGCCAACAUACGGAAGGUUGAGCCACUGUCUGGGAGUAUGAGUGGGCGUUGGCACAAUACCUUACAGCUUAUCCAGAUGCAUCCCAUGCACACAUACACAUGUGUGAAGCAAGAGGAAUCUUUGUAAUGGUUCUAUCCAGCCUCCUUCACAGGCCUUGGAUUGAAGAGGGAGGGAGCAUGGGAUGAGGCUAGGUCCUCUCUAAUAGCUGCAGAACAUGAGAACAAUGUCUCAAGAAAAGCACAAACAAUCCACAGGACCAAACUAUGAACUAGUUAUAAGAACGAACUUAUUUAAUUCAUCACACUAGCAUAGCUAUAGCUAUAUAGUACUUCAGUUCUGUACAACACCAUGCAGAUUUAAAUUGCUUCACUUUAGCCGAUGAUUUACACUUUUCAAUAAUCAUUAUACGUUUUAA